UCUCUUUCCCUUUUUUUCUUCCCAAAAAUCUCGAAUCAGUGACGAAAUAGAAGCCCCAUCGAAACCGGUGUCUCCUGACUCUUCUCUCCCAAAUUCGGCGCAUGGGCUACUUGUCUCUUACGUUGGUACGCAUAUUUGAUUUAUCGUCUUUUCUAUUCCCUCAUCUCCCAUGUUUAGGUAUUCAAAGAUUCAACUUUAUCUAGAACAACAUCAAUGGCUUGAAAGGUUUUUUAAUCCCAUUCUCCUUAUCAAUGUCCCUUACUCUCUCACCCCUUUCAAAUUCAAUCCCUAAAAUCAAAUUGAUUCUUUUAGAAAACCGUAUUCUCCGCAUUCUUGUUGAUUCAGAACAAUUACAAAAAGCUCUAUAUUGAAGAACACAAUCCUCAGAUAGAAUUGUACUGUGAAAAAUAUUCACAUAUAGAUGUAAUGUUAUAACUCCCUUUUUGUAUAAUUUAAUUUCUGAUUUCCUCGUAGAUAUGGGCAAUUCUGGUUAUUUUUGUUUUAGGAUAAUUUGAGUCUACGCAUGUGCUCAACCUACACUUAAUCAAAUUUAAGAAUUAUAAAGUUGGAACUAUGGACAAGCCAAGGAUCCCCGGAAGUCAAAUGAAAUUCGUAAACGUUGGAUCUCUGAAAUUCAAAGGAAAUUUGUAAAUGUUGGAUUUGAAAUGGUUAUGGAACCUUCAAUUUUGAUGUUAGGCGAACCAACGUCUGGACUGGAAUGCGAAAUGAUUGGAAUGCGCAUCAUCUCAACUCCCUCUAAGAGCUAGGAGAUAUGAAGUUUUUGAGAGUGAACAUUUGCUUGGGAAUUCACUAGCCUCGGUGUUAUUGUUAAAAGUGAGCUUAACUCUUCUUUGGAAGAUAUCAUAUGAUGAAGCUGCAAAGUUUAAUGUUUUCAUAGAACCUCUUAGUAUAAAAUUUCAGGAUUAUUAUCUUUUCAUAGAAUCUUUUAGUAUAAAAUUCCAAGAUAUUAGUAAUUUUGAUUGUAUUAUUACAUUUCUUAUUUGAGAUAGAAUUUAAAACACAUUGGAUUUGUUUAAAAUUUUAUGUUUCAUAUGAAUAUUUAUAAAUACUAUGCAUGUUUUUCUACGUCUUGAUAUUGAUUUUGUUA